rnacentral:tRNA from 3 species
GCGGGCAUGGUGAAACGGUAUCACACGAGCCUUCCAAGCUCUUGUUGCGGGUUCGAUUCCCGCUGCCCGCUCCA